AAGUCGUAACAAGGUCUCCGUUGGUGAACCAGCGGAGGGAUCAUUACCGAGUUUACAACUCCCAAACCCCUGUGAACAUACCUUAAUGUUGCCUCGGCGGAUCAGCCCGCGCCCCGUAAAACGGGACGGCCCGCCAGAGGACCCAAACUCUAAUGUUUCUUAUUGUAACUUCUGAGUAAAACAAACAAAUAAAUCAAAACUUUCAACAACGGAUCUCUUGGUUCUGGCAUCGAUGAAGAACGCAGCAAAAUGCGAUAAGUAAUGUGAAUUGCAGAAUUCAGUGAAUCAUCGAAUCUUUGAACGCACAUUGCGCCCGCUGGUAUUCCGGCGGGCAUGCCUGUUCGAGCGUCAUUUCAACCCUCAAGCCCCCGGGUUUGGUGUUGGGGAUCGGCUCUGCCCUUCUGGGCGGUGCCGCCCCCGAAAUACAUUGGCGGUCUCGCUGCAGCCUCCAUUGCGUAGUAGCUAACACCUCGCAACUGGAACGCGGCGCGGCCAUGCCGUAAAACCCCAACUUCUGAAUGUUGACCUCGGAUCAGGUAGGAAUACCCGCUGAACUUA
rnacentral:rRNA from 1 species